rnacentral:misc_RNA from 1 species
GCUUGGUUCGGGCCAUGAUAGCCGCAUCCAACUAGAAACCCGAAUAUACAAACUAAACUUCAACAGCUUCUUUCCGAAAGAUCCGGUUAUCAUGGCCCGAACCAAGCAAACAGCCCGAAAGUCCACGGGAGGGAAGGCACCACGAAAGCAGCUAGCAACCAAAGCAGCCCGAAAAUCCGCCCCGGCAACAGGCGGAGUCAAGAAACCGCACAGGUUCCGACCCGGAACCGUUGCUCUCCGUGAAAUCCGAAAGUACCAAAAGAGCACGGAGCUCCUGAUUCGAAAACUCCCCUUCCAGCGCCUGGUCCGCGAGAUUGCUCAAGACUUCAAGACUGAUCUCAGAUUCCAGAGCUCGGCCGUCGCGGCUCUUCAAGAGGCGGCAGAAGCCUAUCUCGUUGGACUUUUUGAGGACACGAAUCUGUGUGCCAUUCACGCUAAGAGAGUAACGAUUAUGCCAAAGGAUAUUCAGCUCGCAAGAAGGAUCAGAGGCGAGCGUGCUUGAGAGAAGUCAAUUUGUAAUCUUUUUAGUGACUAUGAUCUUUGUUAGUUAGUGUUGACAUGUAUGGCUUUUUCUGAUGUGAAUGGAAACCUGAAGAUUCUGUUCAAUUUUCUCUAAUUAUUAUAACCUCUGCUCACAUUUUCCCAAUCCGAAGCUCUGUUGCGGAGAUACUAAGAACUCACUGCGCUGCAUCUCGAUUUUUACUUCAGUUUCGUCCAUUUGUUUUAACGGUCAAUUUAGGCAAGAACCAGAAAGGAAAGGCCUUGGAAAUUAGCUGCCGGAGGUAAAUGGGUUGUUGGAUAUGUUGAGGACAGAAAUCAGGAACAGAUUCCAUAUCCAAGUCAAUAAAAAUGACUAAUGAUGGAAGAUUUGUGAAUUGUGAUGAGCAAAUAUUUUCAUUAAGUCAAGACUCAAGAGCCUUCUAUCGAAUCGCAAGCCCUUCAUUUGUUGACGUUAACCAGCUUGAUCUCAGUUUUUCAUAGGUAAAUUAUGCCGUAAUGGGGAAAAUAAUAUUUUUAUCGAUUGUGAUUCAGCAAUCUUUCACCAUAUAAGGGGUCUUUCCGCUUUCCAUUCCACCAUCUGGAAGGACUUUGAGGAGUUUCCUACUUUUACUAGUUAUGGAUUCCAUUCAUAGCCAGAGAGCAAAUGAAUUGUUGCAAGCUCAAGUUCAUUUGU